rnacentral:rRNA from 1 species
GUCAGCUUACCCUAUGGACGAGGAUAAUCUCGGGAAACUGAGCAUAAUACUCGAUAGAUCAUAAUGCCUGGAAUGGUUUAUGGUUGAAAUGAUUCGUCGCCAUAGGAUGGGACUGCGGCCUAUCAGCUUGUUGGUGAGGUAAUGGCCCACCAAGGCGAUUACAGGUACGGGCUCUGAGAGGAGAAGCCCGGAGAUGGGUACUGAGACAAGGACCCAGGCCCUAUGGGGCGCAGCAGGCGAGAAAACUUUGCAAUGUGCGAAAGCACGACAAGGUUUGUCCGAGUGAUUUCUGCUAAAGAGAUCUUUUGCUAGUCAUAAAACCACUGGUGAAUAAGGGGUGGGCAAGUUCUGGUGUCAGCCGCCGCGGUAAAACCAGCACCUCAAGUGGUCAGGAUGAUUAUUGGGCCUAAAGCAUCCGUAGCCGGCUUUGUUAGUUUUCGGUUAAAUCCAUGUGCUUAACUCAUGGGCUGCCGAAAGUACUG